rnacentral:rRNA from 1 species
GAUGAACGCUGGCGGCGUGCCUAAUACAUGCAAGUCGAGCGAACAGACGAGGAGCUUGCUCCUCUGACGUUAGCGGCGGACGGGUGAGUAACACGUGGAUAACCUACCUAUAAGACUGGGAUAACUUCGGGAAACCGGAGCUAAUACCGGAUAAUAUAUUGAACCGCAUGGUUCAAUAGUGAAAGACGGUUUUGCUGUCACUUAUAGAUGGAUCCGCGCCGCAUUAGCUAGUUGGUAAGGUAACGGCUUACCAAGGCAACGAUGCGUAGCCGACCUGAGAGGGGGAUCGGCCACACCGGAACUGAGACACGGUCCAGACCCCUACGGGGGGCAGGAGUAGGGAAUCUUCCGCAAGGGGCGAAAGCCUGACGGAGCAACGCCGCGGGAGUGAUGAAGGUCUUCGGAUCGUAAAACUCUGUUAUUAGGGAAAAAAAAAUGUGUAAGUAACUAUGCACGUCUUGACGGUACCUAAUCAGAAAGCCACGGCUAACUACGG